CUGGCCGUGGCGCAGUCUGGCAGCGCGUCUGGCCCGGGACCAGAAGGUCGAAGGUCCAAAUCCUUCCGGCCAGACCA
rnacentral:tRNA from 1 species